rnacentral:rRNA from 1 species
AGAGAGAGACACUGCGCGCAUAUCAAUAAGCGGAGGAAAAGAAACUAACAAGGAUUCCCUUAGUAACGGCGAGUGAAGCGGGAAGAGCUCAAAUUUGAAAUCUUCAAGGUUUUACCUUGACGAAUUGUAGUUUAAAGAAGUGUUUUUCUGCUGAAGUUUUGGUAAAAGUUCUUUGGAAUAGGACAUCAUAGAGGGUGAGAAUCCCGUAUUUGACCAUUAUUUUCAGCUUUGUGAUACACUUUCAAAGAGUCGGAUUGUUUGGGAAUGCAGUCCAAAAUGGGUGGUAAAUUUCAUCUAAAGCUAAAUAUUGGCGAGAGACCGAUAGCGAACAAGGUACCGUGAGGGAAAGAUGAAAAGAACUUUGAAAAGAGAGUUAAACAGUACGUGAAAUUGUCAAAAGGGAAGCGUUUGACACCAGUGUUGUUUUCUCGAAAAUCAAUUAAAAAUGGCUCGAUUUUGUAUUGCUCGAGACCUUAAAAGCUCACUGUACAUUUUUCGUGUCUUUUUUAAUGCACUUUUCGUUUAACAAGUCAACAUCAGUUUUCUUUAGUUGUAAAAGGGUCAUUGGAAGGUGGCUUUCUUUUCGGAGAAAGUGUUUAUAGCCUUUGGCCUCUGCAAUCGGAGAGACUGAGGUCUGCAGCGUAGACUCUUCGGGGUUAGAUACAGUUUGUGCUAAGUUAUAGCUUUUUAUAGACAACUUGUUGACUAUAAUUAGUCUUGUAGCUUACUCGCUUAUGCUAUUUUACCUACGCUUAGGAUGUUGAAGAUGUAGCACAUCAU